GAUGAACGCUGGCGGCGUGCCUAAUACAUGCAAGUCGAGCGAACAGACCUGCUUUUUCUUCCUGAGACGUUGGAGGCGAGUGGGUAAGUAACAAGUGACUCGCCUGUCUACUGGACCGGGCUAGCUUCUGGAACCCGGAGACAGUACCGGAUAACCUAUUGGACUGCAUGGUUCUAUCGUGAGUGACGAAUUUGCUGUCACUUAUUGGUGGUUCCGUGCCGGCUUAGCUAGUUGGUAAGGGAACGGCUGACCAAGGCAACGAUGGGUAGCCGACCUGAGAGGGUGAUCGUCCACACUGGAACUGAGACACAGUCCAGACUCCUACGGGUAGCAGCAGUAGGGAAUCUUCCGCAAUGGGCAAAAGCCUGACGGAGCAACGCCGCGUGAGUGAUGAAGGUCUUCGGAUCGUAAAACUCUGUUAUUAGGGAAGAACAAAUGUGUAAGUAACUAUGCACGUCUUGACGGUACCUAAACAGAAAGCCACGGCUAACUACGUG
rnacentral:rRNA from 1 species